CUCUCACUUAACACACAAGCCUCAAAUCCAAUUACAAAACAAAUCCCAAUGAUAAUAAACAAAUUCAGAUGAAAAAUGAAAGAAAAUCAAACAUAUAUAUUAAAACCUUUAAUUUCAAACAUAAAAAUUCUAUACCUAAUAAAGAUUGAUAUUGGAGAUUGGAGAAGGGUUUAUUUGAGAUUGGAGGAGGUUUUUUAUUUAUUGAAGCAUACAGUAAACUAUAAUCUAUAAACAUGUGCAGUUAGAGGUAAAGGACUACUACAUAAUUUUUGAAUUUAAAAUUUAAAAAAAAAAAAAAGGAAUUUUUGUGGGGCCCCAUGACCCCAUGUGAGUCCGCCCAUAUACACUGUUAAAACUCAGAUAUACGAAAUAUGAGCUAUUUAUCAACUGGAUCAUUCAUAGAUCAUCUUAAAAACAUAACUUAACAACCCAAAAUUAAAAUACAUACUUCUGCAUGUCGGCUAGAAAUAUUGAAUAAGACGUACAUGGUCCAAUAUCUUCUUACCGAUAGAUCAAUACAAAAUUAAAUAUAUCACAAACCAACCCUUAUUACACACUGCACACAUAUUCACACCUGUGCACAUUUUAUUGGAAUACACGAUAAAAGCCUUAGAUAUCAAUGGUUGGUCUCGAUAUCUUUUGUGACUUCAAUGAAGUAAGCCAGCAAAGAGAUUGGAUGUUUCACAUCUUCAUUCCGCUUCUCAUACUCCAAAGUCCAUGUGACCAUGUCUCUGUUACGUUUGGUUUCAAUAUGGAGAGUUAUAAUGAAGUCCUUGUACUCUUCCAUCAAAUCACCUUCAAGCAUCUUGUAUUUGAUUAAUUUAUUUUCCUCCUCUAUGGCUUCAAUCACCUGUUUAGCUCUCCUUUCCUUUCCAUCUGUUAUAGCCACAAAUAAAUUUCAUCAAUUGCAAACUCAUAAUUGAUAGAGCUAACUAUCGUUAAAGGUUGACGUAUAAAAUGUUCAUUCUAAGAGCAUGAUCACAA
rnacentral:lncRNA from 1 species